UUUGCUUUGAAAUGUACAUAUUUGGACUCGAAACAAGACAAAAAUUCUUAGUUAGAAAAAGUUUUUGUUGUUGAUUAAAUCGUAUCAAUUCUGUAUAAAUAGCUUAAUAUAAUAAAUGUUUGUUACACCUCCAAACAUAAUUUUUGGAGCUCAAAUGUUCUAAACUCUCUUGAAAUCCUCAGUCUCAGGCGUUAAAAACACAUGCAAACUCUACAAAUCACCCGUGUUCUGUGGCUCCUGGUCAGUUAUAUUUUAGACUCAACAUUACGUAUCUUGCAAUGUGACUAAUGCAGAUACGCACAUUGCGAUAUCGAUGCUGAAACGGUAUAUUGUGCAGCCCUAUAUAUAUAAAGUAAAACACAUCACAAAUUCCACAGAAAAUCAAUAAAUUAAUCAAAUUAAGCAGACAAAAUUGUUUUAGCAAUAAUAAUAGUGACCCUCUUUAUGAACUGAGAGCAAAACUAAUAGGAUAAGAAGGAAAGUGAUUAUAGUUUGAGCAAACAGACAGCAUAUCAGACUGAUUUCUGAAGCAUCAUGUAACACUGGACUGGUGAUGCUGUUAAUUUAGCUUUGGAACACAUGAAUAAAUCACAUUUAUUAUAAAUUCACAAAGAAAACAGCUAAAAUAACACCACAAUAUUACUGUUUUGAUUGUAUGUUUGAGCCUUACAAACUUCUCACAGAUCCCACUCAUUUGAACGGUAGUAUAAUAUCGAUUUCAGCAAACUUGUAGCUAUUUACAGUGUUUUAUUUACUCAGUUUUAGAGUAACAAUGCAAGUGCAGUCAGAUAAAAUAAGAGUCAGUUAGUCGCAUAACAAGUAGCCAGCAUCUUCAUCCAUUAUGAAACUAACAGUGUUGUUUUAGUUAGGUUACUCUUAUUCAACAGAUACUAUAGAUAAAAAUACCAUCAGCAAAACGCAUCUAUUUCUGUUUGCAACAUAAAUCAGUCAUUUGUCAUUGCAUACCUCAUAAAUCACACUUCAGAAGUGCACAAACAGGUGUUUAGUAAAGUACUGUGGUAGUUUUGGCUGCAAUUACUUAGUAUUCCGGGACUAAAUAAAUCACUUACCCUGGAGAGGCUUUUAGAUCCGUUGUACCCUACAUGUUAAGGACAAGCCAGCAUAUUAAAUCAGUAAAUCAGGGCGCUUUUUUUUUGUAGAAAGGUGCCAAACUCCGAUUCACGUGUUGCAUUUGUCUACAGCACGAAGGAUAAGGUCAGGGACUAAACCGAUAAAGCACCCACACUGCAAAUAUUGUGCUCGUAAGUCUGCGUUUGUUAUCAGUGUUAACAUAUAAUCAUCAUAAUACGUUAGUAUUCGCAAUAUCUUACGUUUCGUGGCAAAGUGAAACAACUAAAUAUGUGUCGCUGUUGAUGUGAACAAACUGAAGAUAAUGCUGUGUUGAUCAUAUGUAUUUUGUUAAAUAUAUACGGGUGAUUUUUCAAUUAGGGUGAUUUUAAAUAUAGAAAAGUUUAUAAAUAAACCAAAAAUCAUAUCUUAGGUUUAAAGUAAUGGAUGUUUAAUUGCUUUAUCCUCGUUUUAAGAGUGCUAAAAUCAAGUUUUUAACUUCUCUUCUACAAUACCUUUAUCAAAAAAAGUGUUUAAAUCAGGGAAAUUUUACAAAGAACUUUAAAAAAAAUUCAUUAAUUUACUGCUUGUGUGUGAAAACUGCCAGUUUUUAUAAACAAUAAUGAUAAUUUUUGUAAUUAGUUAACUUUUUUUAAGAAAAUGUUUAUACUUGGCUGUGAUGGCUAUGAUCUCAACACCUUAGAACAUAGAUAUUAACAUUUGAUGUUGCCUACGCUGUUGUUGUCUAUUGGCGUAGAUAUAUACACUAGAUAUCGCAUUUGGAUCCUGAUCAUGCAUCAAUAGCGCCUCCAUAUUUGUACAGUGCUCCCAGGACAAAUGUCAAUCAACCGCACUAGUCAAGACUAAAUCCAAUUUGAAGAUGAUGACUUAAGCGCUGUGUACGGGUGUAGUAACAAGCAAACAAAGAAAACAAAGCACAAAGGCAGAACAUUUCAUAGGUAAGAUUUCGUUUUUACGUUUUUGUAUUUUACAAACUUUUGUGCUCAACAAGUAUUAUUGAUAAUACUUACUGCAUUCACCAUAAGGCAAGCUAGCACCAAUUUGCACUAAAUUCGAGGCUUAUGCUAGCUUUGUUGAAUAAAAUAAACAAACAAUGUAAAUGAAAUACGACAACAAGAAGCUGAUGCCAGAAACUUGUAUUAUAGUCAGUUAAGUGAAGUAACGGCUUCACAAAUGAAUCGCUCCCUCCGUUAGAAUUAGAAUUAGUUUACUUCAAGACACGGAUUAGAUCAAAUUUAACAGGUAGGGAGGAUAAAACAUUUCUAUGCACACAAACACGCUCUUUGUUGGCAAUGCCCGUGCGGUCACUUAUCCAUCAAUGUAGAAAAUUGAUGUAAAAUUAUCAUUUUCGUAAUUUAAAAAUUAUUUGCACACUGACCACUAGGAAAACUCCCGAUCAUAGAUAUAUGUAUAUAUGUUUAUAUAUCUCUGGCUUUCACUUAUUUCUAAUGGAGGCAGUUAUUCGUUUGUGAACGAAUCUCUAUUAUGAACUCUAUUAUUUUAACCAUCAAUAUCCCUGCGCCUCAAUGUUCAUAGCCACCUUUCUGAUCAAAAUGGUAUAUAACAUUUGUAAUAUUCAAUAUAUAGGGUGGGCUUUAUGCACAUUGAGGCGCAGGCACUGUUAUGUUAUCAGGCACCCUUAUAAGUUACGUCAAAUACUAGCCGUUACUUCACUUAGCUGACAAUAAUUGAAGUUUCUGCCAUCGGCGUCUUGUUGUCAAGCUUCAUUUCCAUUGUUUGCUUAUUUUAUUCAACAAAUUUAGUGAGAGUUGGUGCUACUUUGCCUUAUGAUCAGUGCAAUAAGAGACUGUAUUAUCAUUAGUAACGUUACUUUCUGAGCACAAAAGUUCGCAAAAUACAAAAACAAAAAAAAAAAACGAAAUCUUACCUAUGAAAUUUGAAAUUUUCGGCCUUUGUGCUUUGUUUUUUUGUUUUUUUUUUUGCUCAUUUUUACACCUGUACACCACACUAAAGUCCAGCAUUUACAGAUUGGAUUUAGUCCUGACUGGUGUGGUUGAAUGACUUUAGUCCUGGGAGCACUGUACAAAUAUGGCGGCGCUAUUGACGCAUGCUCAGGGCCUGUAUGCGAUAUCUAGUGUAUAUAUCUGUGAUCGCAGAAUAGCUAUAUGACAUCAUGAUCUUAGUAUAGAUUUAUAUUAGAUGUUAUUAUGAUUUCAUGACAAGCAUUUUCUUGUAUUUCUAAUAAAUUAGGUUAUAAAAGUAGUAGGCCUACUUAAAAGUAGUAGAAAAAGUAGUGUCCCUAAUUGAAGAAUCACCCAUACGUCUCAGUGCGGAGUCCAUUUAAACGCAAUGAAUGUGGAAAAGUAACUAUACGUUUUGUUAAUAAUGUAAACAAAUGUGUGUCUAUUGAAUCUGACUUGCCUGUACCAAAUGAAACUGGUUAAACGAGAAUGAAAGACGAUAUAUCUUUAUUUUUGUGAUAAAGUUACUCGGUGUGCGGAAACGUAGUCAUCUUAAGAUUAACUCAAAUCACGGGUAGCCUGAUAAUAGUAUGUUCGAGAUUCCCCUCCAAACGAGACGUCGCAGUAGUUUGGAAACGAGAGGGGGAAAGGUGGUUUGGAUGAAGGGGGAAAUGAAGCACGUCGGACGCAUCGUCUCCCAGAUCAGAGACUGAAGGACUGAGAGAUCACGCCUCGAGUCCGCCUUGUGAUGCAGUCUCCAUGGCGACUACAGUUUCCCCGGGAAACAACACAGACGCUUGUCCACAAGAGUUUUCUGACAACACAUAUUAGGCUGAUUAGACAAACCGAGCCACGCUUGUGACGUUCUCCAAAACAGCGAAGGCUACAGGAUUCAGAAGGCUUCAGGGAGAUCCACGCAGUGCCUACGACCGAUGACCAAUAGAAACAGACGCCGUUAACCUUUCUGCUAAACAAAAUAGGACUGAACUCACCUUCAAACAGCACAGAAGAAGCCCUCAUAUCUCUACUGCCACUUCCCAUUACCGUCUGGCUGAAUCACAGUGAGCCGCAGCACUCCAGAAGUGGCCUUUUUUGGGAGGGAGAGUAAAAUCCUGCUGGUUCACAUUUAAUAAGAGGAAAGCAAUAUGAAGAGAACUGGACUGCCGAACUGUCGGACAUGAGCUGAUCAUCUGCGAGACUACACUGUAAAAAAUAUCUGUAAAUUAACAGUUUUUCAUAUUUUGUGAUUCAUGUUUUUAUUUUUCUUUGUUUAUUUAUGCUUUUGAAUUGCAUUAUGGGACCUUAAUCUUUCUUCUAACAACUUUUAACCUUGAAAUGUUUGAAAAAGUGACUUUUAAUAACAUUUUUAAUAGUUUAAAGUGAUAUGUCGUCCGGGUUGGUGUUGUAUAUUAAGGUACAAAAACAUUGUGAUAAACUGACAGUACAUUUUCAGUUAUUUUACAGACUUAUUUCUGCAUAUAUUAUCUCUUAUACGUUAUAUUAUUGUUUUAAACUACUAAAAUGACAAUAAAAACCACUUUGUUAAACUGUAGAAUUAAAUUUUCAACAUCAAAAGAUGACAGAGCGGAGAUCAAGGCCCCAUCCCAGCAGGCACAGAACGCCAACAGGACGUCAGAUUGAUGUUGUAGUCCAACGUCAUGGGGCCAUUGCAUUUUGUUUAGAAAUGAAAAUCGGGUCGAUGUAAAAAACCAGACGUCAAUGUAUAACGUCCAACCUAAAAGCAAUCAAAUAUCAACAUAUAGUGAUAUUACAGCUUGACGUUGUGUGGACGUUACCACUAUGAACUCAUCAGACGUUGACAUUUGGUCACCGUACUUGAGAAAUAAAUGACAGUAUUUGACGUCAAUAUGAUGUUGGUUUAAGAUGUUGUCUCGACGCUAGAUUGGUUACUUUCCAACACAACCUAAAAUCAAUUAAAUAUCAACGUCUAAUGAUGUUACUUGACAUGUGGACUUCACCACUAUGACGUAUAUCAGACGUUGAAUUUUGGUUACCAUACUUGACGAAUAAAUGUCACUAUUUGACGUCAAUAUCAUGUUG